GACGGAGGAGGCAAGCGUUAUCCGGAAUCACUGGGCGUAAAGCGCACGUAGGCGGUUUGACAAGUCGGGGGUUAAAGCCCGGAGCUCAACCCCGGAACUGCCCUGGAAACUGUCAGUCUUGAGUAAGGUAGGGGUGAGGGGAAUUCCCAGUGUAGCGGUGAAAUGCGUAGAUAUCGGGAAGAACACCAGCGGCGAAAGCGGGCAACUGGGCCAUUACUGACACUGAGGUGCGAAAGCUUGGGGAGCGAAUGGG
rnacentral:rRNA from 1 species